UGACUGCGUACCUUUUGUAUAAUGGGUCAGCGACUUAUAUUCUGUAGCAAGGUUAACCGAAUAGGGGAGCCGGAGGGAAACCGAGUCUUAAUUGGGCGUUAAGUUGCAGGGUAUAGACCCGAAACCCGGUGAUCUAGCCAUGGGCAGGUUGAAGGUUGGGUAACACUAACUGGAGGACCGAACCGACUAAUGUUGAAAAAUUAGCGGAUGACCUGUGGCUGGGGGUGAAAGGCCAAUCAAACCGGGAGAUAGCUGGUUCUCCCCGAAAGCUAUUUAGGUAGCGCCUCGUGAAUUCAUCUCCGGGGGUAGAGCACUGUUUCGGCUAGGGGGCCAUCCCGGCUUACCAACCCGAUGCAAACUGCGAAUACCGGAGAAUGUUAUCACGGGAGACACACGGCGGGUGCUAACGUCCGUCGUGAAGAGGGAAACAACCCAGACCGCCAGCUAAGGUCCCAAAGUCAUGGUUAAGUGGGAAACGAUGUGGGAAGGCCCAGACAGCCAGGAUGUUGGCUUAGAAGCAGCCAUCAUUUAAAGAAAGCGUAAUAGCUCACUGGUCGAGUCGGCCUGCGCGGAAGAUGUAACGGGGCUAAACCAUGCACCGAAGCUGCGGCAGCGACACUCAGGUGUUGUUGGGUAGGGGAGCGUUCUGUAAGCCUGCGAAGGUGGCCUGUGAGGGUUGCUGGAGGUAUCAGAAGUGCGAAUGCUGACAUAAGUAACGAUAAAGCGGGUGAAAAGCCCGCUCGCCGGAAGACCAAGGGUUCCUGUCCAACGUUAAUCGGGGCAGGGUGAGUCGACCCCUAAGGCGAGGCCGAAAGGCGUAGUCGAUGGGAAACGGGUUAAUAUUCCCGUACUUGGUGUUACUGCGAAGGGGGGACGGAGAAGGCUAUGUUGGCCGGGCGACGGUUGUCCCGGUUUAAGCGUGUAGGUGUGUGUUCCAGGUAAAUCCGGUUCACUUUAACACUGAGGCGUGAUGACGAGGCACUACGGUGCUGAAGCAACAAAUGCCCUGCUUCCAGGAAAAGCCUCUAAGCAUCAGGUAACAUCAAAUCGUACCCCAAACCGACACAGGUGGUCAGGUAGAGAAUACCAAGGCGCUUGAGAGAACUCGGGUGAAGGAACUAGGCAAAAUGGUGCCGUAACUUCGGGAGAAGGCACGCUGACACGUAGGUGAAGUGAUUUACUCAUGGAGCUGAAGUCAGUCGAAGAUACCAGCUGGCUGCAACUGUUUAUUAAAAACACAGCACUGUGCAAACACGAAAGUGGACGUAUACGGUGUGACGCCUGCCCGGUGCCGGAAGGUUAAUUGAUGGGGUCAGCGCAAGCGAAGCUCCUGAUCGAAGCCCCGGUAAACGGCGGCCGUAACUAUAACGGUCCUAAGGUAGCGAAAUUCCUUGUCGGGUAAGUUCCGACCUGCACGAAUGGCGUAAUGAUGGCCAGGCUGUCUCCACCCGAGACUCAGUGAAAUUGAACUCGCUGUGAAGAUGCAGUGUACCCGCGGCAAGACGGAAAGACCCCGUGAACCUUUACUAUAGCUUGACACUGAACAUUGAGCCUUGAUGUGUAGGAUAGGUGGGAGGCUUUGAAGUGUGGACGCCAGUCUGCAUGGAGCCGACCUUGAAAUACCACCCUUUAAUGUUUGAUGUUCUAACGUGGACCCGUGAUCCGGGUUGCGGACAGUGUCUGGUGGGUAGUUUGACUGGGGCGGUCUCCUCCUAAAGAGUAACGGAGGAGCACGAAGGUUGGCUAAUCCUGGUCGGACAUCAGGAGGUUAGUGCAAUGGCAUAAGCCAGCUUGACUGCGAGCGUGACGGCGCGAGCAGGUGCGAAAGCAGGUCAUAGUGAUCCGGUGGUUCUGAAUGGAAGGGCCAUCGCUCAACGGAUAAAAGGUACUCCGGGGAUAACAGGCUGAUACCGCCCAAGAGUUCAUAUCGACGGCGGUGUUUGGCACCUCGAUGUCGGCUCAUCACAUCCUGGGGCUGAAGUAGGUCCCAAGGGUAUGGCUGUUCGCCAUUUAAAGUGGUACGCGAGCUGGGUUUAGAACGUCGUGAGACAGUUCGGUCCCUAUCUGCCGUGGGCGCUGGAGAACUGAGGGGGGCUGCUCCUAGUACGAGAGGACCGGAGUGGACGCAUCACUGGUGUUCGGGUUGUCAUGCCAAUGGCACUGCCCGGUAGCUAAAUGCGGAAGAGAUAAGUGCUGAAAGCAUCUAAGCACGAAACUUGCCCCGAGAUGAGUUCU
rnacentral:rRNA from 1 species